UCAAGUUUGUCAGUCUCAGUUUUCACUUCAGGGACCCAUAGAGGUUAAGUGCGCUAUAGCUAUCCAGUCCUCCUGGGAAGAGAGCGAGGUGGCCACCUAAGGGCUGGGUACCCAAGGCCAGGGGCUAGGAGCAAGGGCUUAGGGGCUGGGCGCCGGCAUUUGGGACGCUCAGGUUAAAGGACUGCAGCUGAGGGCCUGGGAGCUGGGAGGCUGGGGCUGCGGGGGUGGAGAUGCUGGAUGCGGAGUCUGGGAUGCGGUGGGGAGGGGGAAGGACGAGGCUGCAGGGCUGCGAGGUUGGGCGAUUGGAGCUGGGACAGGGAUGGGGGUGGCGGUACGUGCAGAGCGGUGAGAGCCCGGAGCUGAGGUCGGUGGUGGGCCUGCCUGAGGGGCGGGAUCAGGAAACGGGAAAAGUAAGACAAAUACAGCUUGAAAAGACGAUAUGUGGACAUCUAUCCCGGACAACGCGGCAUGGACCCUGCGGUCUCUCGCGGUGCGCCUCCAGCCUCCUCGCGCGUCGCCCGCCCCGCCAGCUGCAGGCCAGAGGAAGAAAAGCUUCCUAUCAUGAGUUCAACCAGCUUCAAGUAGUACCUUCUGACCCGAGAGCGCCCUCAAACUGCCUUUCCCAGGUGCUAGGGGAAUUUGGUGGUAUAAAGCAGAGCCGAAGAAUCUCCAAAGGAAAGAACCAGUGACCAGACUGCAAGCGCCAGGCAGCAUGUAUGAGUCUGAAUGACUCUCAUCAGCCUGGGGAAGGAAAAGACCCAGAAAGCUGAGACACAAGAUGCUCACCCGUGCAGGAGGAAGAUCCAUAAAAACAGCAGGAUGGAGACGCAAUUGGUGAUGUUCCACAUCAUUAGAGUCUCCACUAGCUUUUGAAGAUCCAGCUUGCAGCUGAAAGUUCAAGCAAAAGGCCCCAAGGGUUAAUCAUGCUGCGGCAGCCAGAUGAUCCGUGAUUAUGUACUAAGGCGGUAGAGGUCACUAACAAAUAUCGGGGCUGGCAUGUGGCAUAAUGGGUAAAGCCACCAUCCGUGAUGCCAGCAUCCCAUAUAUGGGUGCUGGCUGUGUCUGGCUGCUCCACUUCUGAUCCAGUCCCCUGCUAAUGCGUCUGGGAAAGCAACAGAAGAUGGCCCAAGUGUUUGGGCCCCUGCACCCUUGUGGAAGACCCGGAAGAAGCUUCUGGCUCCUGGCUUUGGUCUGGAACAGCCGUGGUUGUUAAUUCUGCCUUUCAAAUGAAUGAUUAAAUAAAUCUUUAAAAAAUCCCUUUUUUAAACAAUUUAUGUUCAUUUUAUUUGAAACACAGAGAGACAGAGACAUGGGUGGAAAGAGGUCUUCUGGCCAAACCAAAAGUGCAGAAUUCAAUGUUUCCUACAUGGGUGGCAGAGACCUAAGAACUUGAGCCAUCCUCCGCUACCUUUCAGUGUAUUAUGCAUUAGCAGGAAGCUGGAUAGGAAGUAGAGGGACUGGGACUUGAGUCAGGCACUCCUUGAGAUGUGUGCAAUGCAUCUCAAGCAGGAACUUAACCACUGUGCCACAUUCCUGCUUUUAAGACCAUUUUUAACAUUGCCUAUGAGUUCUUCAUCAGGUCUCUUUUCUCUAGCCUCAUACUGUAAUAAUCUUUCCUUAAUUUCUACAUUCUAGCCACAUUGGCAUCCUAUGAGUCCUUCAAAUGCUCCUUCCUAACUUAGACCCUUUGAGUGCUUUUUAUGUCAAGUACUGUCCUAAGUACUAUAUCUAUAUUAAUUCAUUAAACCCCCCACAAAAACCCAGUGAAGCAAGUACUACUAUUUCCACUGCAUAGAUAGGGAAACUGAGGUACAGAGAAUUUGCCCAUAGUACAUAGCUGGCUAGUUACAGACCCAGGAUUUGAAACCUGGGCAGUCUGGUUGCAAUGUCAAUGUUCCUAACCACUAUACUUUGCCACACAGGCUGUUUCUUUCCCUUGAUCUCUGCAUACUUCUACUCAAUCCCAAAUAUCCUACUUCAAAUGUCGCUGCCACAGGAAGCUUUCCCAGACUAGAUAUGUAACAGAGUAUAUGAUAUAUAUGCUCAGAACACACUAUGUGUAGCAUACUAUCCCAGUUUAUAAUUAUAUAUGAUGAUUAUGUGUUCAAUGUUUGUCUCUCACAUUUGGCAGUGAGCUCCAUGAAGUCAGAAACUGUCUGGUUUGUUAAGCAAUGUCUCCAGCACAGUAUCAGGCACAUAAGUAUCUAACAAAUACUUCUUGCUGGGAUGAAGGACCAAAUGAAUGAUCAGGAAGAAGGAAGGGCAUCUUGGUAAUAGGAAUAAACAUGAAAGGGGUAGGAGAGAUCAGAACUGAGUGUGGUAUUUUUAUUAUUUAAAUGACAAUGCAGACAGGUAAAUUACUUAUAUAAGGGGUAUUCAAAAAGUUCACAGAAAGACAGCAUUUGGUGCAGUGGUUAAGACACUGUUUGGAAUACCCACAUCCUAUAUCAGAGUGCUUGGGUUCAAAUCCCAGCUCUGCUCUCCAUUCCAGCUUCCUGCUAAUGCACACCCUGGGAGGCAGCUUGUGGUUUCGGCCUGGCCCAGCCCUGGCUGUUGCAGGCAUCUGGGGAGUAAACCAGUGGCUGGGAGAUCUGUCUCUCCAACUUUCAAUUAUAUAAAUAAAAAGAGAAGCUCAUAGACAAUGCAUAUUAUGAAAAAAAGUAUGGACUUCAACAUUUUUUUUUUACCAAAAUAAGCCAUCUUUUUAAAUCAACUUCAUUUUUUUUUUCUAUACAAUGACCCCUAGGAGGAGAGUGUGCUAAUGGAGAAGGAGAGAGAAAAGACAUUCACCUAAGAGUACCAUCACAGAGGAAUGCUAUCAACAGGGUGAGCACUGGGCAGUUAGAAAACA